UACAGAGACUGCAAGCGUUAUUCGGAUUCACUAGGCGUAAAGGGUGCGCAGGCGGCCGGGUGUGUCAGAUGUGAAAUCCCGAGGCUUAACCUCGGAACUGCGUCUGAAACUACUCGGCUAGAGUAUUGGAGAGGGUAACGGAAUUCACGGUGUAGCAGUGAAAUGCGUAGAUAUCGUGAGGAACACCAGAGGCGAAGGCGGUUACCUGGACAAUUACUGACGCUCAGGCACGAAAGCAUGGGGAGCAAAAGGG
rnacentral:rRNA from 1 species